rnacentral:rRNA from 1 species
AACGAACGCUGGCGGCAUGCCUAACACAUGCAAGUCGAACGAGACCUUCGGGUCUAGUGGCGCACGGGUGCGUAACGCGUGGGAACCUGCCCUUAGGUUCGGAAUAACUCCCCGAAAGGGGUGCUAAUACCGGAUAAUGUCUUCGGACCAAAGAUUUAUCGCCUUUGGAUGGGCCCGCGUUGGAUUAGCUAGUUGGUAGGGUAAAAGCCUACCAAGGCGACGAUCCAUAGCUGGUCUGAGAGGAUGAUCAGCCACACUGGGACUGAGACACGGCCCAGACUCCUACGGGAGGCAGCAGUGGGGAAUAUUGGACAAUGGGCGAAAGCCUGAUCCAGCAAUGCCGCGUGAGGGAUGAAGGCCGUAGGGUUGUAAAGCUCUUUUACCCGGGAUGAUAAUGACAGUACCGGGAGAAUAAGCUCCGGCUAACUCCGUG